AAUCCGAUAAAGGGAAGGAAAAGUGAUCGAAUAGCCGUUGAAGCCGUUCGACAACAUCCGAGAUUUUGCUCGUUAGCGAUCGGAUUCGGGAUCAUUAAAGUCGAAGUCAUCUACACUAUCAAAGCCUCCAUUUUGGUAUAAUUUUGGUUGAACUUUGAAAUGGCAUGUAUAGGACUACCCUAUUGUUGAAGGUCAUGUACCUUUCGGUUUUGUGUAAACUUGGAUAGCCAUGCGAAAAUGGCUUAUAUACGUUUUUGGUAUGAUACUAUAAUCGUUGUAUGUUGAUCA